UCGAAGCUCUGAAAAGGGAGCAGCAUCCAACCGCACCAGCAACUUUCAUGUAAGCUCCGAUCUUCCUCUCGCUCUAUCUCAGUUACCCAUUUGUUGUUCAUUUGGAUCUUGCUUCGAUUAAGCUAUUUGUGACUUAAACCGUCGCCUUCAUUGCCAUCUUCUCCAGGUACCCAACUUCCCAAUUUAAAAAACUAGGGUUCCAUUACCCUUUCGAAUUUCUCUCAUUUUUUUUUGUGAUUUUGUUCCUGGGUUUGAUUCUUUAAUUUGAUUUUACUGGAAGUGUUUUACAGUUUUGGGUUGGAGAGAAGGAGAAGGAGAAAAGAGAGGAAGCAUUUUAGCGAGGGAAAGGUGAAACUCUGUUUGCUUCUUUUCCCAUACAGGUUGUUCUGAUUGGGAUCAGUUUUAACCCUCUUCGUCUCUCUGCACACACAACCACUCCACUUCUUCUUCUUUUUAUUUUUUUUAUAUAUCCAGGACAGUUUGAAGAUUUUGCUUCCUUGGAAAUCUAGCGGCAAGAAAUCAUCCGUACGUUUUGGUUUCAAAGUUGUUCUUUAUCGUUUCAGUUUAAAUAAUUUGAUUAUUUUUUUACGAAAAUUAUGCAGAUAAGAAGAAGUCCACCCAUUGAUACUACCAAGUUCCAUGUAAGAUGUUGGGGAUCCUAUAUUUGCUUUCUUAUAUGUUUCUACAAUUUGUCUCUGUCUGAGUGUUGAGAUUUCUGGGCUUAUUAGAGCACACUAAACCGAAUAGGAAUCGGCGAGCGAGAGAGGGUGGGUGGUGCCACUGCAAUCCUACUUCUUCUGCUCUUCCAGUGCCUUCCAGGUAUUUCUCUUCAUUAUUUCUUGCUUUGUACUCUUUCUAACUUAUAUUUGUUCCAUUUUUUUCUCAAUUUAUAUGUUGCGGUGAGAAAUAUGUCCUUUAGUUGUCUUUUUCUGUCGGCGUUUGUGAUGAUUGCUAAUAAAAGAAACGUUUGUGAUUAACCAAACGACAUAGGUUUUGCAUCAGCUGAAGAUUUUGCUUCCUUGCAAAUCUAGAGGCAACAAAUUUUGUUGUAUGUUAACCAUUUUGUUUUCUAUUUGUUUUCGUAACUCUUUUUGCUUUCGAAGUUUACUGCUCGGUUAAAUUUUUGUACUAAAUUCUUCAAGUUGUUAAGAUUGGGUAAAUUUAGGGAUUCAUGAAUGGGUCCGUGGUUGAAGCUCAGGAAAAUUAGCUUAAUUGGAUCUGCAAAUGGGUUAAUGCCUACUGUCUUAAUUUUGGUUAUGGUGGUAUAUGUUCGGCUCCGUCCUAUUAGUUUGUGUUAGUCUGUUUUUUCCUUUUCGAAAUCCCCAAUGUUAUGUGUUAUGUCAAUUCGAUAGUGUACAUUUCAUGAAUCUUUUAACUGUGAUCUAAUUUGUAUAAGCAUCAUUUUCCAUUGUUGAAUUUCAAUGCUAUGUUUCCAUAUUUUCCUUCAAUUUUACCUUUAUUAAGAAUCAUCCAAAUUGAAAUUUCAGUUUUAAGAUUUCCAGAGGACUUCAACAUAUCAACUAUGGAGGGAAUUGAUAGACGCAAUAUGUCAGAGGUUCUUACCUUAUUUGUAUUAUUCCUCUUCUGUAGAGAUGAUUUAUUUUUUCUUCUUUUUCAAAAAUAAAAUAAAAUUCAUUCUUUUUGGCAAUUUCUCAAUGUCGGUCGACAAUGAAG
rnacentral:lncRNA from 1 species